GGUUCAAGUUGUUGUAUAGAGCUGUGUUUGGUCCAGGCAAAAUGGAUAUGGUAGGAAUUCUGAUGAAGCCACGCCCACACUCAUUGACCUCAUUGUGAACCAAUUCGAGGAAAGCAGACCUUUCCCAGGGCCUCUGCCAAGGAAGUCACUUAGAAGAAAUGUUGACUCUUGAUGCUUUAUAAUCAUUGUAUUUCUUCUCUCCUAGGUACAGUGACCUUGUAAAGAAUUGGCUAAAGAUCUAUAGCCAAUAAAAAUAACUCCUGUUUAUAAAUCACCUUUCUCCGUAAGUGUAAGAACUUAGCCACAACUUUUAUUAGAACUAAAAUCUUCUUGAAAUAUUACUGAAGAAAACCAAGCUAUUGUAAUUUUUUGUUUGCCAGUCCUGGGGCUUGAACUCAGGGCCUGAGCACUGUCCCUGGCUUCUUUUUGCUCACUCUACCACUUGAGCCACAGCACCACUUCUGUUUUUUUUCUGU